GAUGAACGCUGGCGGCGUGCCUAAUACAUGCAAGUCGAGCGAACAGACGAGGAGCUUGCUCCUCUGACGUUAGCGGCGGACGGGUGAGUAACACGUGGAUAACCUACCUAUAAGGCUGGGAUAACUUCGGGAAACCGGAGCUAAUACCGGAUAAUAUAUUGAACCGCAUGGUUCAAUAGUGAAAGACGGUUUUGCUGUCACUUAUAGAUGGAUCCGCGCCGCAUUAGCUAGUUGGUAAGGUAACGGCUUACCAAGGCAACGAUGCGUAGCUGACCUGAGAGGGUGAUCGGCCACACUGGAACUGAGACACGGUCCAGACUCCUACGGGAGGCAGCAGUAGGGAAUCUUCCGCAAUGGGCGAAAGCUUGACGGAGCAACGCCGCGUGAGUGAUGAAGGUCUUCGGAUCGUAAAACUCUGUUAUUAGGGAAGAACAAAUGUGUAAGUAACUAUGCACGUCUUGACGGUACCUAAUCAGAAAGCCACGGCUAACUACGUG
rnacentral:rRNA from 1 species